UUUGCAUAAACUACUGUCUUUUUCAUUUUUUUUU
rnacentral:sRNA from 1 species